rnacentral:rRNA from 1 species
UAUGGUAAUUGUGUGCCAGCCUCCGCUUUACUACGUAUGUUGCAAGCGUUAUCCGGAUUUACUGGGUGUAAAGGGAGCGUAGACGGAUGGGCAAGUCUGAUGUGAAAACCCGGGGCUCAACCCCGGGACUGCAUUGGAAACUGUUCAUCUAGAGUGCUGGAGAGGUAAGUGGAAUUCCUAGUGUAGCGGUGAAAUGCGUAGAUAUUAGGAGGAACACCAGUGGCGAAGGCGGCUUACUGGACAGUAACUGACGUUGAGGCUCGAAAGCGUGGGGAGCAAACAGG